rnacentral:rRNA from 1 species
AUGCUGCUGCAGCAGCAGCAGGGGGACGAAGAGGGACAUGAUGAGCCGCAGCAGCAACAGGGGGAGGAAGAGGGGCAGGACGACCAGCAGCAAGGAGAAGAGGAGGAGCAGGAGGAGGGGGCGGUGGAGGAUGUGGAAAUGGACGAUGCGGGGGAGGUGGUCGCCGGAGAUAUCGAUGCUGGAGGCAAUGGUGACCCUGAAGAAGGGCAAGAAGAAAGCGAAGGCUUCGACCCCAACUCGGAGGUGGGUCAACCUAAUGGAGUUGAAGAAAGGAAGAGAGAGUUGACUGACAAGCUGGAUACCUUAAGUAAGAAAAAGCAUGAUCUUGUGCAGAUGCUGAAGCAGAUUUUAAAUGCCGAAGAGGAAAUCAGAACACGCAUGCAGGCUUCACUGUGUGCUGCCAUGCCUCAGCCGCCAGAAAACACAGCUGAUGGAAGUGUUCCUAGACAGGUGCCCAGAAUGACCGUUGAUGUCAAUUUCAGUGAGUUUGCUGGGGAGUCAGAUGCUGGUUCCAACCAGGGCACUCCUGGGCGCCCCUUGCAUCAUGUUCACAGUAUUUCCCCUUCAACAGCCUCUUUUGCUAGGUCUCCAUUCGGUUCUCGCAACCACAACCCUGGCAACACUCCGAGAAGUCCAGCACCUUUCUCUACAGCAAGCCCAUCUCGCUUCGCAGGUACUGGGCAUCAAGGACACCACCCCUCAGCAUCAUUUACCAGCAGGCAACUUUGUAGCAUCGUCGCCUUCCCCUGCUGCAUCCGGUGGCUCUUCCUCUGUAUUCAUGGACUAUCGCUCGCCCAGUUCAACAUAAUUCCACAAAACCCGAAUGGAGGCUACAAUGUACAUGAGUCGCCGUGA